UUUACACGUGAUAUUUUGGCUCAAAACCUUUAAGGAUUCAUAAGACUAACUCUGAGGACAUUUACCGGACAAAAUUGACUCAAAGUCAUAGCACCCCCUAGUGGCAACAGGAAGUAGGCCUAAACAUCAACGUGCUAUACUUUAAUGAACUCCUCCUAGCGAUUUCAUCAGAU